rnacentral:rRNA from 1 species
UACGGGGGGGGCAAGCGUUGUUCGGAAUUACUGGGCGUAAAGGGCUCGUAGGCGGCCAACUAAGUCAGACGUGAAAUCCCUCGGCUUAACCGGGGAACUGCCUCUGAUACUGGAUGGCUUGAGAUUGGGAGAGGGAUGCGGAAUUCCAGGUGUAGCGGUGAAAUGCGUAGAUAUCAAGAGGAACACCUGAGGUGAAGACGGGUUGCUGGGCCGACACUGACGCUGAAGCGCGAAAGCCAGGGGAGCAAACGGG